rnacentral:rRNA from 1 species
UACGAAGGGGGCUAGCGUUGCUCGGAAUUACUGGGCGUAAAGGGCGCGUAGGCGGGUCGUUAAGUUAGAGGUGAAAGCCCAGGGCUCAACCCUGGAAUUGCCUUUAAUACUGUCGACCUUGAGUAUGGCAGAGGUGUGUGGAACUCCGAGUGUAGAGGUGAAAUUCGUAGAUAAUUCGGAGAACACCAGUGGCGAAGGCGACACACUGGGCCAUUACUGACGCU